GACAGCGUGUCCGAGUGGUUAGGGAGGUGGACUUGGAAUCCAUGAGGCUCAGCUUGCGCAGAUUCGAAUCCUGCCGCAAUCGGGUUA
rnacentral:tRNA from 1 species